GGGAGAAGUGAUGAAGUCAUACCAUAGGAGAUAUCUGCAUUCAUUGUGAUGAUCACAUCAUGCACUACCAUCUGAUCUCUC
rfam:Sorghum bicolor cultivar BTx623 chromosome 8, whole genome shotgun sequence.